UACGUAGGGUGCGAGCGUUAAUCGGAAUUACUGGGCGUAAAGCGUGCGCAGGCGGUUAUGUAAGACAGGUGUGAAAUCCCCGGGCUUAACCUGGGAACUGCAUUUGUGACUGCAUAGCUAGAGUACGGUAGAGGGGGAUGGAAUCCGCGUGUAGCAGUGAAUGCGUAGAUAUGCGGAGGAACACCGAUGGCGAAGGCAAUCCCCUA
rnacentral:rRNA from 1 species